GGUCCAUUCGUCUAGGGGUCAGGACGCAAGGUUUUCAUCCUUGAAACAGCGGUUCGAUUCCGCUAUGGACUA
rnacentral:tRNA from 1 species